ACCCCCUGGCAAUGGGCAGCGAGACAUCUUAAUGGUGGUGAUGUUCUUUUAUCAGACGCAGAGCAGAUGGCAGUCCUUUGUUCAUCCUAGAUUGAUGCUUGUCUUGGUGGCCAAAGCUGUUUUAUGCCAAGGACAUAUAA
ensembl:snoRNA LOC120093435 small nucleolar RNA SNORA48